GGGCAAAUACUACCUUUUCCUUUAAGGAAUGAAUGUAAUUGCUUGCAUUUUCUCUCUGCUUCCAUCCUCUCAUUGAUUUAUUCCAAAGGCUAAAGUUUCUACUUUACAUUCUAAUUCAUCUGACAUAGCGUGUUUUUAAAAACUUAGCAUUGUUGCUUUGAUUUUCCAGUUGUCUUUUGCUGAUGGAGCCUCUGUGAAGGGCAAAUUCAAAGUACAGCUGGGUGCUGCAGUGCAGGAGUGGGAAUGUGUGGCUGUGGUUAUGAAGGAGCCUAGGCAGCUAUGCCUUUAGCCCCUGGUGAAGCAGUACCGGUCACAUUUUGCCAGUCAAACGGAGAGGCAGCAGUAGUAAGACCAGACCAAAUCAAACCAAACCAAGCAAACCACAGGGGAAUGGAGGACCUGAUGAUUGAUUUAGCAUCUUUGGCACCCAGUCACUGUUCUGCCUGGCCAUACUGCUGCCUUAACCCUCAGCUGUUGCAACUCUUUUGGCCACUCUGUGUAACUGCCCUGCCAAGCCCUGCUCCCUGGCUGUCCACACAAAGAAGAAGUGUUUCCUAGAGGAGAUCACAACAAAAGAAUGAAAUCUGGGGCUCAGGGGAAGGUUGACUUCUGAAGCUAGAAAACAAAGAAGUAAGGAAGGGAGCCUAUGGAAUUUACCAGGGAGGGGAACUUUAACAUUUCCUUUCAUAUAAGUUGGUACUAUUCUGGCUUUUUACCAUGAUCAUAUAUUACAUUCAAAAUAAAGCUCUUGUUUUUAAAACAAAAAAUUAUAAACAAAGAAAGGAAGGAUGCUCACUCAUUUAGAUAAUAGAUACCUAGUGAACCCCUCGUAUACCUUGUACUGGUGACCAGGUUCCAUUCCUGAUCUCCUGGAGCAGGAGACAUGAAAAGACAUUUAGCAAAUAAUUACACACCUUUUUACGUCAGUAAAAAUGUUGGGACUUUGGAAGAGUUUUACCCUGAACGCUUCUGUUUUCACUGAAAGAUAGGAGGCAAGGUCAUUUGUUCAGAAAAGCAAUGGAAUUGAGUAGGGGGCUUGAAAGAAAUGAUGAGGCUAGGAAAAGCAGCUGUACCAAAGGGGGCACCAGUCAGACUAAGAACAUGUAAACCAGAGCAUAGCUGUGCAUACUUUGCUUGAAGGUCUCCAAGUUCAAAUCCCAGAACUUGAUAUUUGAGGUUGAUUCAAUGUGUUACCUAUUUGUUUUUAAAAAGCAGAGUCUUUUUCUUCCAGCAUGUGUUAGUUAGCCCUCUCUUUAUCACACCACCACCACCAAUUGUCAUUUGCAGAAGUAUCUUCAACUCAUCACAAAUUUACCAGUAAUAGCUAAUUCAUGUCUAUAGAACUGUUAAAUGACAAGAUAAUAUUUAGAUUAAAAGCUGUAAUUGCAUUCUUGUUAGACUCUUAUUCAGAUUUUAACAUACUCCUCAAAGGGGCCAUUUAACCCUAUUCUGCUGGGCUUUGGCAAGCACUGAAUGAUUGCCCUCCUAGGGCAGAAGUACUACAGCCCCGGUGAAGCAUUGUAAAGAUAAUAUUAUCAAUAAAUUGACUGUAAUUGUAAACAACAUAUUUAAACAAUUAUAUCUUAAUUAAAUUCUUAUAAAUUAUAAGUGCCUCAGAACUUUCUUAAUCUCAAAUGCAUGUUUCUUAGAGUCAUUCACUAUUUUAUGAAAAUAUAUUUGCUGAAUAUUAGAAAAAAUUAAAAAUAAAAGACAUUU